GUGAGGCAGUCUCUGGGAGAGGGAAGUCACCAUCAUUACCUCCCUCUGAAGGUGGUCUAAAUGACACAUCAUCUUAUUGUCCUCUACCACUUUCUGGAUCUCAGAAAGGAAAUGUGGCAAAAAUUUCGGUUAUUAAUGCCUCUGACAAUGAUAAUGCAUCAAAGACGCAUAAACAAAUCAGAAAGGUUGAUCAUACAAAUGGGGC
rnacentral:misc_RNA from 1 species